rnacentral:tRNA from 1 species
GGAGAGAUGGCCGAGCAGGCUUAAGGCGCACGAUUGCUAAUCGUGUGAGGUACUAAAGGUGCCUCCGUGGGUUCGAAUCCCACUCUCUCCGCCA